AGAGUUUGAUCCUGGCUCAGGACGAACGCUGGCGGCGUGCUUAACACAUGCAAGUCGAACGGUAAGGCCCUUUCGGGGGUACACGAGUGGCGAACGGGUGAGUAACACGUGGGUGAUCUGCCCUGCACUUUGGGAUAAGCCUGGGAAACUGGGUCUAAUACCGAAUAUGACCAUGGGAUGCAUGUCUUGUGGUGGAAAGCUUUUGCGGUGUGGGAUGGGCCCGCGGCCUAUCAGCUUGUUGGUGGGGUGAUGGCCUACCAAGGCGACGACGGGUAGCCGGCCUGAGAGGGUGUCCGGCCACACUGGGACUGAGAUACGGCCCAGACUCCUACGGGAGGCAGCAGUGGGGAAUAUUGCACAAUGGGCGCAAGCCUGAUGCAGCGACGCCGCGUGGGGGAUGACGGCCUUCGGGUUGUAAA
rnacentral:rRNA from 1 species